GCGUGCGCAGGCGGUUAUAUAAGACAGAUGUGAAAUACCCCGGGCCUCAACCGUGGGAACUGCAUUUGUGACUGUAUAGCUGGAGUGCGGCAGAGGGGGAUGGAAUUCCGCGUGUAGCAGUGAAAUGCGUAGAUAUGCGGAGGAACACCGAUGGCGAAGGCAAUCCCCUGGGCCUGCACUGACGCUCAUGCACGAAAGCGUGGGGAGCAAACAGGAUUAGAUACCCCGGU
rnacentral:rRNA from 1 species